GACGAACGCUGGCGGCGUGCUUAACACAUGCAAGUCGAACGGAAAGGCCCUGCUUUUGUGGGGUGCUCGAGUGGCGAACGGGUGAGUAACACGUGAGUAACCUGCCCUGGACUUUGGGAUAACUUCAGGAAACUGGGGCUAAUACCGGAUAGGAGCUCCUGCUGCAUGGUGGGGGUUGGAAAGUUUCGGCGGUUGGGGAUGGACUCGCGGCUUAUCAGCUUGUUGGUGGGGUAGUGGCUUACCAAGGCUUUGACGGGUAGCCGGCCUGAGAGGGUGACCGGCCACAUUGGGACUGAGAUACGGCCCAGACUCCUACGGGAGGCAGCAGUGGGGAAUAUUGCACAAUGGGCGGAAGCCUGAUGCAGCAACGCCGCGUGCGGGAUGACGGCCUUCGGGUUGUAAACCGCUUUCGCCUGUGACGAAGCGUGAGUGACGGUAAUGGGUAAAGAAGCACCGGCUAACUACGUGCCAGCAGCCGCGGUGAUACGUAGGGUGCGAGCGUUGUCCGGAUUUAUUGGGCGUAAAGGGCUCGUAGGUGGUUGAUCGCGUCGGAAGUGUAAUCUUGGGGCUUAACCCUGAGCGUGCUUUCGAUACGGGUUGACUUGAGGAAGGUAGGGGAGAAUGGAAUUCCUGGUGGAGCGGUGGAAUGCGCAGAUAUCAGGAGGAACACCAGUGGCGAAGGCGGUUCUCUGGGCCUUUCCUGACGCUGAGGAGCGAAAGCGUGGGGAGCGAACAGGCUUAGAUACCCUGGUAGUCCACGCUGUAAACGGUGGGUACUAGGUGUGGGGUCCAUUCCACGGGUUCCGUGCCGUAGCUAACGCUUUAAGUACCCCGCCUGGGGAGUACGGCCGCAAGGCUAAAACUCAAAGGAAUUGACGGGGCCCCGCACAAGCGGCGGAGCAUGCGGAUUAAUUCGAUGCAACGCGUAGAACCUUACCUGGGUUUGACAUGGAUCGGGAGUGCUCAGAGAUGGGUGUGCCUCUUUUGGGGUCGGUUCACAGGUGGUGCAUGGCUGUCGUCAGCUCGUAUCGUGAGAUGUUGGGUUAAGUCCCGCAACGAGCGCAACCCUUGUUCACUGUUGCCAGCACGUUAUGGUGGGGACUCAGUGGAGACCGCCGGGGUCAACUCGGAGGAAGGUGGGGAUGACGUCAAGUCAUCAUGCCCCUUAUGUCCGGGGCUUCACGCAUGCUACAAUGGCUGGUACAGAGAGUGGCGAGCCUGUGAGGGUGAGCGAAUCUCGGAAAGCCGGUCUCAGUUCGGAUUGGGGUCUGCAACUCGACCUCAUGAAGUCGGAGUCGCUAGUAAUCGCAGAUCAGCAACGCUGCGGUGAAUACGUUCCCGGGGCU
rnacentral:rRNA from 1 species